AGCGGACGGGGACGGAACAAAUUCCUUGUUCCCCCUGGGAAGGGAUUUUGAUUUUUCAGCCGAUUCGCCAUUAGCGAAAAACGAGCCCCCGCCCACCUCUCCGCCGCCACUUGGGGUUGCGGCGGCGGCAGACUCUUGCCGUUGCCGGCUCGGCUGCGAUCCCCUUGCGGAACUCAGCGGGGGGAGGCGCCGGAAUGUUUGGCGAAACCAGAGAUCUUCUUGGGUUGCCUUCGAUCUCCCUGGUCUCCUCCGCGGCCUGCUGCUGGUGCGUUACACGGGAGGAGGGGAGGUUCCGGUCGUUUUCAGCGUGUUCUUGUUCGAUCCGCAUAGUAUAUAAGGCCGCCUGCUUGGUGGCUUGCUUGCUUGCCUGUCCAAUGGAAUCUGCCGCCGUUGUGGUUUUGUACUCCGGUCCAGUACUGCAUCGUGCAACAAUAAUGGGCGAGGCCGCCAGGCAGAUUUCCAGUGCAGAGACGGGCAGCAAAGCAUGUUAUGCAUGAUAAUAUGAAUGGAACCAUUUCCAUCAGUUCAGACUUUCGGAGAAGGCAGUCAGGAGUGCUUCUUCUCAACAAUAUAGUGAGAGCAAGAUUAAUAAUACAGCCGACUGCAGGAUAUAAGAAUCUUUAAAAUCUAUCUCUCAGUCUACUCUUAUAGCAA